UACAACUCUAUGUUACUGCGGAAUUUUUCUUCAUAAGUUGUGAGAAAUCCAAAUACAGUUCUUUCUAGUUUAUAUUGAAAUUUUCAUACUGUAAUCAUCUCUAAAGUAGGAUUAAGUUCAUGUUGCAUAUGGUUCUUUAUUUGAUGUCAAAUAACAACUAGAGGAAUAACAAGUUAUGUAUCAAUGCAUCAUCUCGCAUUUUCUUCGUUAUAUUAAUCUGGGUGUCAAUUCUUCAUGCCAAGGGUUUGUCUUUCAAUGAGACAUCUGGGGCCAUACCAUUUUCACUAUCAAAGAAUUGGAGACAUUAAUGGAGGAGUAAUUGACAAGCGGGUAUGUGAGGUAGGGAGCAAUUGAACUUGCUCAGAUGUUGUUUGAUAAAAAGCCUGAGAAGGAUUUUUAUCUCGCACUGUUCUAAUUGAUGGGUACUAAGUGUGGAAAGGUUGAGAUUGCUCUUGAAGAUUUUGAUAACAUGCCAGGCCGGAAUUCGGUCUCUUAGGAUGCAAAGACUAAUACAUGUCGUUGGUAAAGAUGGUGUUACUUUGUUGUAGGGUUUGGCUAAAAAAUAGCAGGGUAAGAAAUUGUAUUCACAUGAUACAGGUAGUAUUGUCCAUGCUUUGUGUUUUAGUCCAAAUAUUUUAGUGGGAACGUACAAGGAAGAGUGGAACUGAUUGUUUACAGAAAUCAUUUGAAGUGCAUACCUUGUGGAUUGUAUUAUCCAGCUAUGCGUAUGUGAGGGAAAGCUGCAAUUAAGCUCUUCGAGGCAAUGCAGAAACUUAUAAUGAUUAGCACCGGAUCGGACCACGUUUGCAGUUUUGCUUAGUGCAUGUCGUCUGAAAGGUCCGUUAAGAAGUUAGAGUGGGGUGUAGCUGAAAGCUUGAAGUAGGAUCCAACCAAAUGAAAACUACUCUUACAGCAGUACUGGGGAAGUGUUGCAGGAUCUGUGGCGUUGGCAGGGUUUUACUGUUUUGUGGUUAUGUUUAUUUCCUAACAAGACUAUUUCAAGAGUUGCCAAAUCGAUGUAUUUUGAUAGUAGUUUUGCUGUUAUGUCUUUUGGUUUCCGUUAGUCCCGUAAUGGACGUGUUGUUCUUGUGUUUUUAACUGCACAGUCCGUGUACUAUAACUUUCAAUGAUGUGAGAAUUAGCCCUGUAGCUUUG